AAUUUAAUUAACAGUAAAUUAAUUUUGAUCGUAAUAAUAGUGACUAAAUUAUUCAAUGUUAAAAUGUUAAAGACUAAAUUUAUUGACAUUAAAACUACUUUGGCUAAAUUGUAGGUUUGAACAACUCUAAGACAUUAAAUUAAAAUUUACCCUUGUUAAAUUAUUAUGGUCAUGCAUCUACAACAAUAAAAAAAAAGGGGGUUAAUUGGCCCUUCUUUAUUUAAGAAUUACUCUUGUAUAUUUAUAUAUUUAUAUUGAACGCUCUUUACAAAUGAAUAAUGUAUUUUCAUUAAUAGAACGUUUCAGAAUUUUUUUUAGAUCCACCAGUACAUACAUGGCAUAACUCUAUAUAAAUAAUAAAACUUCACAAAUCUCAAUAUAUUCACAAAAAUGAAAUUUAGCCGCACAAUGUUCAUAAAUCUACAUUGGAAAAAAUGUUCAUAAACCUAAUUAUAUAUCCCAAAUUCAACCAAUCAAUCCUUUCUCUUUUUCUGAGAUUUUCUUCGCAUUCUCUAGUGGAAUUUGCCCCUUCCGGGCAAGGAGAGCCCUUCUCCUUGUUUGGUUUUUGUUUGGAGAUACUAGAGAGGGUGCUUGACGGAUGACCUACUUUUAUGGGUGGUAAUAUUGCUUCGACUCUGCUUGGGCCAUGGCCACCUGGGGUGUAGAGAUUGUCUAAGUGAGGGUACUACUUUACUUGUCGGUUUGGAGGAUGGGUAUUUAUGGGGACGUUACUGGCAUCUUUGAAAGCGCCCAAUCCUUACGCUCUGCCGCACCUCCUCGUGGAGCUUCCUAGAUUCUGUGAUUGUUUGUGAUCUUGAGAUGAGUUUGCAAUUUUUUCGUACAGGGACUGGUUGAAAAUGAGUUUCUAUUCUCACAUUCAGUGUCUGUCUUCUCUUUUCUGUGUGCCUUUAUGGUUCUUCAGUGCUGUGUCCUGUGCUUCGUUUGCAUGUUGCGGCGGCGCUAAUAUUUGCUUCCUCCUUUUCAAUUGAGUUGGAUCUUAAGUUGCCCUAUAAGCUCUAAGGGUUUUUUGCUUACUGCACUUUGAGCCUUUUAUUUGUAUGAGGCUUGUGGUGGUUUGUAUUGGGUUAAUCCUGUAAGAUAUAUUUGGUAUAGUAUGAUGAAAGUUGUAAUGUAAUUUUAAUUA